rnacentral:rRNA from 1 species
GACGAACCGUCCAAACGUUAUUCGGAAUCACUGGGCUUAAAGGGUGCGUAGGCGGCGCGGAAAGUUGGGUGUGAAAUCCCUCGGCUCAACCGAGGAACUGCGCCCAAAACUACCGUGCUCGAGGAAGAUAGAGGUGAGCGGAACUUAGGGUGGAGCGGUGAAAUGCGUUGAUAUCCGAAGGAACACCGGUGGCGAAAGCGGCUCACUGGGUCUUUUCUGACGCUGAUGCACGAAAGCUAGGGGAGCAAACGGG